rnacentral:rRNA from 1 species
GAUGAACGCUGGCGGCGUGCCUAAUACAUGCAAGUCGAGCGAACAGACGAGGAGCUUGCUCCUCUGACGUUAGCGGCGGACGGGUGAGUAACACGUGGAUAACCUACCUAUAAGACUGGGAUAACUUCGGGAAACCGGAGCUAAUACCGGAUAAUAUAUUGAACCGCAUGGUUCAAUAGUGAAAGUCGGUUUUGCUGUCACUUAUAGAUGGAUCCGCGCCGCAUUAGCUAGUUGGUAAGGUAACGGCUUACCAAGGCGACGAUGCGUAGCCGACCUGAGAGGGUGAUCGGCCACACUGGAACUGAGACACGGUCCAGACUCCUACGGGAGGCAGCAGUAGGGAAUCUUCCGCAAUGGGCGAAAGCCUGACGGAGCAACGCCGCGUGAGUGAUGAAGGUCUUCGGAUCGUAAAGCUCUGUUAUUAGGGAAGAACAAAUGUGUAAGUAACUAUGCACGUCUUGACGGUACCUAAUCAGAAAGCCCCGGCUAACUACGUG